GAAAUGUUUUUUUGUGUUACUUGAUAUAAAUGCAAAAACUGCAGUUUUACUGUAAGGAAUUCUAAAGGUCCUUACAUAAGCCAAAAGAGAAGAUAAUUACAAUGAGAAAAGAAUCCUAUCUCUUUAAAAGAGCAUUUUAUGUGUUUGGGAAUACUGCCUUAGGACAAAUAGCUAGCUUUUCAACUUUUUUAAAAAGCUCUUAUCAAAGCAGUAUCUAAAAGUCAUCAUGAAUCUGGGGAAUUUAAAGAAGAUUAAUUUACAAAUACUCAGACUUCUCUGUCAUUAAAAUGUCAAUGCAAAGCCUUAUAUCUACUAAAAGUAAAUUAUUUGUUUUACCAUUUCCUUUUUUUUUUUUUUUUUUUUUUUUUUUUUCUGCUUUUAGGGUCACACCUGACAUAGAGGUCAAAUUGGAGCUACAGCUGCCAGCCACAGCCACAGCCAUGCAGGAUCUGAGCCAGGUCAUUGACCUACACCACAGCUCACAGCAAUGCUGGAUCCUUAACUCACUGAGUGAGGUCAGGGAUCAAACCCUCAUCCUCAUGGAUCCUAGUCAGGUUCAUUAAUCGCUGAGCCAUGAAGGGUACUCCCGACUUGAUAAUCUUUUUAAACUGCUAAAGGAUGUCUUGAUUUGCAAUGUAAACUCAACUAACUAUGCCUAGCCUCUCUUGCUAAGGAUGGAAAUUAGCUAGUUUAUGUAUACAUCCACUCUGGACUAAGAGGAAACAGUGAACUCUGCAGCCACUGCUAUUUCUCUUCACCUUCACUCUUCUUAGAAACAUAGUAUCCAAAAUUGCAAAUGAAAAAUGCUGAAACUUUUUAUAAAUAUCUAUCAAAUACCGAAAAAAAAUGGACUCACCUUUUAAUGAGAACCACGUAUUUUCUUUACGGUACUUGGACAAUAAGCCCACAAAUCUCCAAGAGUUACCAAGUCUAGGACACGAUAAAAAUCAAUUUUUCACUGAAUGACUGCUCAUCUCCAUUCAGCAUGAAUUAUUGCCUUAUUAAGUACCAGAGACUUUUUCUCCCUAACUGCACACCCCAUUGUACCAAAUCUAGUUAGAUGAAGCAGAAACAAAUUCAUAUUUCCUAACACUUAUUUAAAUUCUUUGGACUAGAAACUGCACCGCAGAUAGUCUUCACAUUUCAUCAAAUUAUUCUCUCAGUCAGAUUCAUACUAACAAGGCUCUCAUGUAUCAUUGCUUUUUGCUUUUUAUGAAAAAGAAAAGAAUCC
rnacentral:lncRNA from 1 species